AGGAUGAACGCUGGCGGUCUGCUUAACACAUGCAAGUCGAACGGGCGUAGCAAUACGUUAGUGGCGGACGGGUGAGUAACGCGUGAGAAUCUACCUUCAGGACGGAGACAACAGUUGGAAACGACUGCUAACCCCCGAUGUACUGAAAAGGCAAAUAUUUAUAGCCUGAAGAAGAGCUCGCGUCCGAUUAGCUAGUUGGAGAGGUAAAAGCUCACCAAGGCGACGAUCGGUAGCUGGUCUGAGAGGACGAUCAGCCACACUGGGACUGAGACACGGCCCAGACUCCUACGGGAGGCAGCAGUGGGGAAUUUUCCGCAAUGGGCGAAAGCCUGACGGAGCAAGACCGCGUGGGGGAAGAAGGCUCUUGGGUUGUAAACCCCUUUUCUCUGGGAAGAACACAAUGACGGUACCAGAGGAAUCAGCAUCGGCUAACUCCGUGCCAGCAGCCGC
rnacentral:rRNA from 1 species